AGGUAGGUGGAGUUUCAGCCGGAAGAGAAAGGACGAAAAGAAACGAAAUGGUCAAAUGUCAACACAAAUUCUCAUCCUUAGGAAAUAAUCCACACAAUGCCAAUCGUUCAUCUACGAAUCUACAAAAAUAUGGAGCUAGGCAUGCACUUGGGUGGAUCUAAUACGAUUUCUCCCUAGGAUCUCACGGCCGGCGACAGUUGUGAACGAUUAAAUAUUAUUUACUAGACCUGGAUAUGAACGCAUUAAGGCAAUACACAAUACACAUCCUUGUAAUUAAGGUGACAGGACCCACAACGAUUCCUGGGAAACAACCUGCAUUUGAAAUGAAUUACAAUGAGAAAAUGUAAUGUAAUACCAUAUUAAUAAAGAAUAAAUGCAA